rnacentral:rRNA from 1 species
GAUGAACGCUGGCGGCGUGCCUAAUACAUGCAAGCCGAGCGAGUGGACUAAGAGCUUGCUCUUAUGAAGUUAGCGGCGGACGGGUGAGUAACACGUGGGUAACCUGCCCAUAAGACUGGGAUAACUCCGGGAAACCGGGGCUAAUACCGGAUAAUAUUUUGAACUGCAUGGUUCAAAAUUGAAAGGCGGCUUCGGCUGUCACUUAUGGAUGGACCCGCGUCGCAUUAGCUAGUUGGUGAGGUAACGGCUCACCAAGGCAACGAUGCGUAGCCGACCUGAGAGGGUGAUCGGCCACACUGGGGCUGAGACACGGCCCAGACUCCUACGGGAGGCAGCAGUAGGGAAUCUUCCGCAAUGGACGAAAGUCUGACGGAGCAACGCCGCGUGAGUGAUGAAGGCUUUCGGGUCGUAAAACUCUGUUGUUAGGGAAGAACAAGUGCUAGUUGAAUAAGCUGGCACCUUGACGGUACCUAACCAGAAAGCCACGGCUAACUACGUGCCAGCCGCCGCAGUAA